rnacentral:rRNA from 1 species
UUCAGACGAUGCGUCAUGCAUAUCAAUAAGCGGAGGAAAAGAAACUAACAAGGAUUCCCCUAGUAACGGCGAGUGAAGCGGGAAGAGCUCAAAUUUGAAAUCUUAAAGGGUUUCCCUUUACGAAUUGUAGUUUAAAGAAGUGUUUUCUGUUGAGGUUUUGGUAAAAGUUCUUUGGAAUAGGACAUCAUAGAGGGUGAGAAUCCCGUAUUUGACCUUUACUUUCAACUUUGUGAUAACACUUUCAAAGAGUCGGAUUGUUUGGGAAUGCAGUCCAAAAUGGGUGGUAAAUUUCAUCUAAAGCUAAAUAUUGGCGAGAGACCGAUAGCGAACAAGUACCGUGAGGGAAAGAUGAAAAGAACUUUGAAAAGAGAGUUAAACAGUACGUGAAAUUGUCAAAAGGGAAGCGUUUGACACCAGUGUUGUUUUUCUGAAAAUCAAUUAAAGAACUGUUUAUGCUAAGCUGUUUAGACUUUAUCAGCUAUCUGUUUAGUUUUAGGCUUUUCUUUAAUGCACUUUUCAGUUAACAAGUCAACAUCAAUUUCUUUUGCUGUAAAAAAGCUUGAGGAAGGUGGCUUGAGAUUCGUCUUAAGUGUUUAUAGCCUCUUGCCUAUGCAGUCGGAGAGAUUGAGGUCUGCAGCGUAGAUCCUUCGGGGCUAAAUGCAUUUGUGCUAAGUUAUAGCAUUUUAUAGACAACUUGUUGACUAUGAUUUGUCUUGUAGCUUACUCGCUUAUGUUAUUUUACCUACGCUUAGGAUGUUGACACACGCGCGUGCUCG